UGCGUAGGUGGUUUUUUAAGUCAGAUGUGAAAGCCCCUGGGCUUAACCUAGGAAUUGCAUUUGAUACUGAAUAACUUGAGUAUGGUAGAGGGAAGUGGAAUUUCCAGUGUAGCGGUGAAAUGCGUAGAUAUUGGAAGGAACAUCAGUGGCGAAGGCGACUUCCUGGACCAUUACUGACACUGAGGCACGAAAGCGUGGGGAGCGAACA
rnacentral:rRNA from 1 species